GUCUAUGGCCAUGCCACCCUGAACAAGCCCGAUCCCAUCUGAUCUCAGAAGCUAAGCAGUAUUGGGCCUGGUUAGUACUUGUAUGGGAGACCACUUAGGAAGACCAGGUGCCUUAGGCG
rnacentral:rRNA from 1 species